UGUCUCCAGAGUUAAAUACAUGAAUUAAAUGCAAUUUCAAUGGAUGUCCCAAUGUUUUAAAUUGAAUAACAUGACUUUAAAGAAGAUAUGGGAAACUUCAACUCCCAGAAAAAUGAAGUAGAUACAUACUUCUCUAUUCCUUCCACUAAGUACAACUGAAAACCGUGACACUAUAUAUAAAACAAACAUAAGAAGACUCUGAAAGGCAAGAAUGGGUUUUCUUUUGCCUCCUUUAUUCCAGACUUGUAACUGAAGAAGCCAUCAACCAAGAAAUUUCCAACAGACCCAGAUGGAAAAAGUCCCAGUGAAAGCCUGUUCUUUAGCCAAAGGGGCCAGAAAAGAGCAAGAUAGCAGGACAAGUGUCAUUGAGGAGAAUUUGCCUAGGAGAUGCAAAGAGAGAGAAGCCUAUACUUUGAGGGUGGAAGCCCCUCCAACAGGCAACAUGACUGCAGCACAAUCAACUAUGGCUUUGCUGAUCUCGUGUAUCAUCAUCCUCAUCAUCCUCAUCCCCGCAAUUGCAGCAAACGUCCAGUUGUGCACUUACUGCUGAUGAUGAAUAAAUGUAUAGAACAGGAAAAAAUGUAUCUCACCUUCAGACAGAAGGUUGCACUCACAUCCUUAGCAGUUAUAAACAAGGCUUAAAAACAAGACUGAGUUUACAUGAAUGAUUUGUUUUUAGACUGAGGGCUAUAUGAUUGCUUUGGUAGUAGUGGUCCCUAAUGGAGCUAUGUUAAUUGGCAUCUGGGUUAGAAAAGAAAAAUUAAU
rnacentral:lncRNA from 10 species